ensembl:miRNA MIR149 microRNA mir-149
GCCGGCGCCCAGGCUCUGGCUCCGUGUCUUCACUCCCGUGUGUGUCCGAGGAGGGAGGGAGGGACGGGGGCUGUGCUGGGGC